rnacentral:rRNA from 1 species
GCAUAUCAAUAAGCGGAGGAAAAGAAACCAACAGGGAUUGCCCUAGUAACGGCGAGUGAAGCGGCAACAGCUCAAAUUUGAAAGCUAGCCUUCGGGUUCGCAUUGUAAUUUGUAGAGGAUGAUUUGGGGAAGCCGCCUGUCUAAGUUCCUUGGAACAGGACGUCAUAGAGGGUGAGAAUCCCGUAUGUGACAGGAAAUGGCACCCUAUGUAAAUCUCCUUCGACGAGUCGAGUUGUUUGGGAAUGCAGCUCUAAAUGGGAGGUAAAUUUCUUCUAAAGCUAAAUAUUGGCGAGAGACCGAUAGCGCACAAGUAGAGUGAUCGAAAGAUGAAAAGCACUUUGGAAAGAGAGUUAAAAAGCACGUGAAAUUGUUGAAAGGGAAGCGCUUGCAAUCAGACUUGUUUAAACUGUUCGGCCGGUCUUCUGACCGGUUUACUCAGUUUGGACAGGCCAGCAUCAGUUUCGGCGGCCGGAUAAAGGCUCUGGGAAUGUGGCCUCCACUUCGGUGGAGGUGUUAUAGCCCAGGGUGUAAUACGGCCAGCCGGGACUGAGGUCCGCGCUUCG